AACGCACGAGACCUGCGGACCUGCGGAGGGAUCAUUAGUGAACGCCCUCACGGGCUUAUAACUAUUCCAAACCUCUGUGAACCGUGCCCUUCGGGGCUAUUUUACAAACAUGGUGUGAUGAACGUCAUAUAUCAUAACAAAACAAAACUUUUAGCAAUGGAUCUCU
rnacentral:misc_RNA from 1 species